ACAAUAAUAACACAAAUCAAAAUUCCUAUAAAUGUGAGACGUGUAGGCAAUAUUAUGUACGUGUACGUGUGGCAAUAUUGUGAUAUAAAAUGCAACUGAAUGGAUAAACCUCUAAAUUCCACAUGACGUAGAAAUUUCCAAAGAUACGCUUGAUUAACUAAAUUAUAUGGACGAGGGCUACAACGAGAGAAGAUCAUCGCAUUUGUGCCGCGUGAUUCAUUUGCGUCGCGACGCAUUUAUUAUUUUGUCUCGUCUCUAUUUCGACUGUGAUAAAUUGUUUGAGAAAUUUGGUGCGCCAAGUCUACGUUCUUGCGCAAUUUUCCAAACUAUGUGACUCUAAAAUUAUUUAUUGUAACACAACAAGGAGCGAAGAAAAUUUUCAUGAGAUGUUUGUGCGUUUCAAAACUUAUUCUGAAUUUUUAUAAUAAACGAAAAAAAA